AGAACGAACGUUGGCGGCGUGGAUUAGGCGUGCAAGUCGCGCGAAUCUCGUGGGGGCAACUCUGCGGGGAAAGCGGCGAAAGGGGCAGUAAGGUAUGGAUAACUUGCCUCGGAGUUCGGAAUAGCCUUCCUAACGGAUGGGUAAUACCGAAUGACUUCAAUGGAGAGCAUUCUCUGAUGAAGAAAGUUACGGCGCUCCGAGAGAGGUCCAUAUAGUAUUAGCUAGUUGGUGAGGUAACGGCUCACCAAGGCCAAGAUGCUUAGCAGGUGUGAGAGCACGACCUGCGCCACUGGCACUGGGACACUGGCCAGACUCCUACGGGAGGCUGCAGUCGAGGAUCUUCGGCAAUGGGCGCAAGCCUGACCGAGCGACGCCGCGUGUGCGAUGGAGGCCUUCGGUUGUAAAGCACUGUCGAGGGAGAAAAGGGUUAACCUUGAUCGACCCUGGAGAGCACGGCUAAGUCGUGCCAGCAGCCGC
rnacentral:rRNA from 1 species